rnacentral:rRNA from 1 species
GACGAACGCUGGCGGCGUGCUUAACACAUGCAAGUCGAACGGAAAGGCCCUGCUUUUGUGGGGUGCUCGAGUGGCGAACGGGUGAGUAACACGUGAGUAACCUGCCCUUGACUUUGGGAUAACUUCAGGAAACUGGGGCUAAUACCGGAUAGGAGCUCCUGCUGCAUGGUGGGGGUUGGAAAGUUUCGGCGGUUGGGGAUGGACUCGCGGCUUAUCAGCUUGUUGGGGGGGUAGUGGCUUACCAAGGCUUUGACGGGUAGCCGGGCUGAGAGGGUGACCGGCCACAUUGGGACUGAGAUACGGCCCAGACUCCUACGGGAGGCAGCAGUGGGGAAGAUUGCACAAUGGGCGGAAGCCUGAUGCAGCAACGCCGCGUGCGGGAUGACGGCCUUCGGGUUGUAAACCGCUUUCGCCUGUGACGAAGCGUGAGUGACGGUAAUGGGUAAAGAAGCACCGGCUAACUACGUG